GAUUUCAACUGAAAAAGUCAUCAACAACAAAAUUGUAUAACUCAUCAAGAUCUAUAACUUCUAUUUUGAUUAUUUUUUCAUCCGACAAAGUGAUUUGUAAUAUUGUUCACAAAAUAUACAUAUCUCUUAUAGUUUUAUAAAUUAUAAGAGAGAUAUGUAAAUUUUAAGAAUAUGUUAUGAUCAUUUUGUCGGAUGAAGAAAUGACCAAAAUAGAAGUUAUAGAUCUUGAUGAGUUAUACAACUUUAUUGUUGAUGACUUUUUCAGCUGAAAUC
rnacentral:pre_miRNA from 1 species